rnacentral:rRNA from 1 species
GAUGAACGCUGGCGGCGUGCCUAAUACAUGCAAGUCGAGCGAAGCGGGGACGGGUGAGUAACACGUUGAUACCCUCCUAUAAGACUGGGAUAACUUCGGGAAACCGGAGCUCAACCGGAUAUGUAUCGGUGGAUACGCGCUGCAUUAGCUAUUUGGUAAGGUAACGGCUUACCAGGUCAACGAUGCAUAGCCGACCUGAGAGGGUGAUCGGCCACACGGGAACGGAGACACGGUCCAGACUCCUACGGGAGGCAGCAGUAGGGAAUCUUCCGCAAUGGGCGAAAGCCUGGCGGAGCAACGCCGCGUGAGUGAUGAAGGUCUUCGGAUCGUAAAACUCUGUUAUUAGGGAAGCGGUACCUAAUCAGAAAGCCACGGCUAACUACGUGCCAGCAGCCGCGGUAAUAC